UCCGCGCCCGCGCCGCGGCUCAGGGCGUUCUGGCCGGGCCACAUAGUUCCUAAGGAGUCACUGGGAAGCCCGCAGGCAGGGCUUCGGCUGCGGAGCGCUGUGUGGGCCAGCGCAUCGCUUCACAGGCGUCCCGUGUUGCCUAGCCCGGGCUGGGCAGGCGGCGAGUGUCCCUUCCUGCCAGGCCGGGGAGCAAAGGGCGCCCCGGCGCCGCCUCUGUCACCACACGAGCCGCGCUGAGGGCAAGCGCUCCGGCUGCGAGGGGGCAGGACAGUCUGCCAGAAGUGACACAGCGCCCAUCACCUGAUUAAAAAAAAAAACAAACAACCAAAGUAAUGCUUUUGUAGCAUCUAUCUCAGACAAGGAAUUGUCCUUUCCAAUUAUUUGCUAAGGGGCUGAUAUGUUUCCAAACCAAGUGAGUGCACAGAUGUGAUUCAGUGUUCAGAAGGCUUCAAAGCAUGGCCUAGCUAAUGACCUGCACGCACCAGGUGAGGCUGAUCUGGACCAUGAAGCCCCAUGGGGGCAUGCAGAGCCCUGAAAGCUGCUACUGCACCAACUGGAUCUCUUUCGUCAAGAGCUUGUGUCAAGUAAAAACCACAUGAUUCUUCCCAAAGACUUUAUUGUUACAUUAUCUAAUACCUGUCAAUAUGGUACAUAAACAUGAGCCUUAAAUUAUAAGACUAUUCAGUGAACAGCAUCAUAGAUUAAGAAAUUCCAUUUACAUAAUUCCUCACCAUUCUUCUACUAAGGAGUAACAGCAAAUUGAGAGCAAAAUAUAAUAAAUAGGUUUUCAUAGUCCAGCACUGGCAGUGAAAUUGAGAUAGGAUGUAGGACUUUUAUUUUUUUAUUUUACUAAAACAAUGGAUCUCCUAUAAGAAUAAUUGAAUUUAGAGACCUUCAAAUUCUGAUCAUCAGAUCAUCAGACAGCCUAAAUAUACAUUCUCUUUAAGACUGCUGAAGAAUAAAAAGCCUGGAAGAGUCAACUGUAAUAUAAGUGGCCAUUACUGUCUCAUUUACUGUCGUGAGAUCUGGUAUAGAAUCCUGUGUUUAAAAAUGAAAUGUCUGGGGGAACUGAUUGACAGCUAGCUGAACAUGAACCACCAGUGUGCUCUGGUGGCCAAGAAGGCCAACAGCAUCCUGGCCUGUAUCAGAGUAGUGUGGCCAGCGAGAGCAGGGAGAUCAUUCUCCCCCUGUACUGGGCCCUGGUGAGGCCACACCUGAGU